GUGUGCGCGCGGAUUUCGACUUCAAGGACGAUGAGGAUGGGGUGGAUAUGAUAAGCCUUAAGAAGGGGGAUAUUAUAG
rnacentral:ribozyme from 1 species